rnacentral:rRNA from 1 species
AUGAGUGGCAUCGAGGAAACAUCUUUUACGUUGAUGGUCAAAAAGGCAUGUCGAGAUACUAGACUUGCUCAAUCAAGCCCUCAAAAUCCAUUGAGUAGGUGUGCAUCGAUUGCUGGGCAAAAAGCUGCACCCAAUCACAUAAGAUCUGCAGGCACAGCCAUGGCUGAAGAAACACAGCGCGACAGAGGAACUCAUUGCAUACGACACCCAACCAAUCCAUUUCUUAUCGAGCAUGGAAGUACUAACAUGUGCUUCAAGGCCGUUGGCCCUUCUCAUAAUAAAGUUGUUGCAAGGCUCACCAUUAGGGUUAGCUAG